rnacentral:RNase_P_RNA from 1 species
AGAGUCGAUUGGACAGUCGCUGCCCUCUAUGAAAAUUAGAGGGGGGAGGAAAGUCCGGGCUCCAUAGGGCGGAGUGCCAGGUAAUGCCUGGGGGGCGUGAGCCUACGGAAAGUGCCACAGAAAAUAACCGCCUAAGCACUUCGGUGCCGGUAAGGGUGAAAAGGUGCGGUAAGAGCGCACCGCACGUCUGGUAACAGUUCGUGGCUAGGUAAACCCCACUCGGAGCAAGACCAAAUAGGGUUCCAAGGCGUGGCCCGCGCU